AACAAAAGAAAUUAAGCGUUUUCAAAUUUCAAAGAAAUGGGGAAUAAGAGAUGGGUACGAUUGUUUGCCAAGAUUGCAACGAAGCCAUUCAUUACUUUGAAGAUGAGAAAGUGACAACAUUAUAUGGAACUUGCUGCGGACAAUGUCAAUGUCCUGUUGAUGAAGAGUAAAAAAAAGCAUGCGGCUUAAAGCCGCAUGCUUUUUAUUUUUU
rnacentral:ncRNA from 2 species